UCCGGCUUGUCGCCGGCGGUCCCUUUAGAGUGCCCAACUGAAUGAUGGCAACUAAAGGAGAGGGUUGCGCUCGUUGCGGGACUUAACCCAACAUCUCACGACACGAGCUGACGACAGCCAUGCAGCACCUGUGUUCCGAUUCCCUUUCGGGCACACCUGAAUUUCUUCAGGCUCUCGGACAUGUCAAGGGUAGGUAAGGUUUUUCGCGUUGCAUCGAAUUAAUCCACAUAAUCCACCGCGUGUGCGGGUCCCCGUCAAUUUCUUUGAGUUUUAACCUUGCGGCCGUACUCCCCAGGCGGAUGACUUAACGCGUUAGCUGCGGCACCGAGGGGGUCGAUACCCCCGACACCUAGUGCUCAUCGUUUACAGCGUGGACUAC
rnacentral:misc_RNA from 1 species